ACAACGAUUUGCCACCCACAACAGUGGUGGAAACAAAUCGACCAGUUACCAGCAAUGGCAACUACUAUACUAUGAAGCAUAUCAAACAAAACAAUUAGCAAUGAGAAGAGAGCGAACGCUCAAACAUCAUGGCAAAGUUUACCAGUCCUUAAUCAAGCGACUGGCAGAAUAAUUAAGUAGCGGGGUGACGGCGUACCUUUUGUAUAAUGGGUCAGCGACUUAUAUUCUGUAGCAAGGUUAACCGUAUAGGGGAGCCGAAGGGAAACCGAGUCUUAACCGGGCGUUAAGUUGCAGGGUAUAGACC
rnacentral:rRNA from 1 species